GAUGAACGCUAGCUACAGGCUUAACACAUGCAAGUCGAGGGGCAGCGUUAGGUAGCAAUACUGAGAUGGCGACCGGCGCACGGGUGAGUAACGCGUAUCCGACCUACCCAUAACUCGGGCACAGCCGCUCGAAAGAGCGAUUGAUUCCCGAUAUGUCCUUGGAGUAGAUUCAAUGAUGAAAGAUUCAUCGGUUAUGGAUGGGGAUGCGUAAGAUUAGGUAGUAGGCGGGGUAACGGCCCACCUAGCCGACGAUCUUUAGGGGUUCUGAGAGGAAGGUCCCCCACACUGGAACUGAGACACGGUCCAGACUCCUACGGGAGGCAGCAGUGAGGAAUAUUGGUCAAUGGUCGGAAGACUGAACCAGCCAAGUAGCGUGAAGGAUGAAGGUUCUAUGGAUUGUAAACUUCUUUUAUACGGGAAUAAAACACCUUACGUGUAGGGUCUUGUAUGUACCGUAUGAAUAAGCAUCGGCUAACUCCGUG
rnacentral:rRNA from 1 species